AUGACCAAGAAACUAGUAGGCUUGUUUGAGACACAUUGCGGCUCGCCUCGAAAGUAGACGAGAGUAGCCGAUCGCAGCCGGGGGAGGUGUCAAAAAGCUCGUCUUAAGUCGGACAGCUCGGAGUCGGAGUCGGCUUGACUGGCUGGGUUUGCAAUGGCGGAAAUUGCGUUGGCGUUUUUCGUUGCAGAUGAAGUGGAUGCAAUAGAAAUCCCACAUGUAUUGUAUGGAGAAUGGCAUGAUGAACACCGUCUGCGGAGAUCCGUUCCAAAGGUCCAACAAUUUGUGGAAGAAGUGGUCCCACAGUACAGUCCUUCAGACUUCAAAAGUCAUUUCCGAUUGUCCAGGGGACAUGUGGAAGAUGUGAUGACGACUAUUGGCCCGUUCUACUGGAACAAUGUUCUUGCCUGUCUGUGGACUCUAUCAAACCAGGAGUCCUAUAGGGGGUUUGCUGAUCGUUUCAAUAUCACCAAAUCCACUGUCUGCCUGCAUCUCCGUGAAUUCUGUAGUCUUGUCACCACAUAUUUGUCUCACCACAUUUCCUGGCCCACAGGGCAAGCCCUACAUAAUUCUGAGUUAGGAUUUCGUGCAGCAGGAUUUCCCAACACUGUCUGUGCGGUAGAUGGAUGCCACAUUCCUAUUGUGAAACCACACUGUGAGAACCCAAUAGCAUACAUCAACAGAAAACAGUUUUAUUCUGUUGUGCUUACUGGGUUCUGUGACAGUAAACAGAGAUUCUGUCAUGUUAAUGUGGGCCACCCUGGUAGCUGGCAUGAUGCACGGGCAUUCCGGUUGUCUGCUGUUGGAAGGCUGCUUGAUGAAGAUCCCCAGUCCCUGGUGCCUGAGGGAAUGCACAUCAUUGGGGACUCUGCCUACCCACUAUUGCCUCAGCUUAUGAGGCCAUACAGGGACAAUGGCCAUUUAACUGCUCGGCAGCGUCGUUUCAAUCAAAAAUUAAAUGUUGCACGCGUGGUCAUUGAGCAUACCUUUGGCCUACUGAAAACGAAGUUCAGGAGGCUCAAAUGUUUGUACAUGAAAAACAUUGCAAACAUUAGCACAGCAGUCACUGCCUGUUGCAUACUUCACAACAUGUGCUUGGAGGAAGGGGAAGCAAUUGAAGUUGAUGAGCAGGUUGAAGCAGCAGAUAACAGGGCACCGCAUCCCCAGAACCAAGAUGCAGUGUUGCACAGAAAUCAGAUUUGUGACCUUUUUUAAAGAGCUCACACACACACACACCCCCCCCCCCACAAAUAACCACUGUCAUAUUCUUUGUGGAAGACAUUUGUUUUUUUAUUUCCUUUCCUUUUAUGCCCACAGUAUUGAGUAUGUAAGUCGCUUUGGAUUAAAGCGCCUAACAAGUAACAUGUAAUGUCAUCCAAAAUGAUUGGGCAAGUAAAAAAUAAAUGCAUAUAUAUGAAAACUAGAUAUGGUCAUUUUCUGCACAUGUCAAUAGCAGUUGACUAUCUUCUUUGAAAAUGAAAUAACUAUAUAUACAUAUGUACACAUGUACUUGGCAAAUAAAUAAUAAUUGCAUAUAAACAUUGUGAACACUUAGUGUAUACAAAGGCAAUUGCCAGGGAUGAAAUAAUAACUCAACUGCAUAACGAGGAAAAUAAAUAACUAAUCUAAACAAUAUUACUUCCAUAAACAAACUGAGGUGGUGUUCUUUAUAAACAAAUUAAUUCAGGGAAUACCCAGUGUGGGGGAAAUUAUGGCAUUUUGGGCUUGUCCUGCAAAAGCUCAAUGAUGCGCUCUUGUUGGCUCCCAAUGGACUUUAACUGGGAAACAACUUCUCCCAUCGCAGUCAACAUUUUAGCUUCAAACCUCCUCCUAUUUAUCUCCUUCAGCCUUCUCCGGCGCUCCUGUUCUGGCCGCACCAGUGUCUCCAGUGCACUGGUCCUCCUCUCCGAGUGGGCCUCAUACAGGUCGUAGAAGGAGGGAUGGGAGACUCGAGACCGGAUUGAUCUCGGCUGAGUGGUGGGCAGGGUCAUGGAGGGACCAGGCUGGCCCUCAGAGGCACACGGCAGUGUGGUGUUCUGACCGGCUGGAGGGGGAUGCCAGGUGAGGAGUGCCAGCUUGGGAUCUAGCAGGCCUUACAAGAGCAGGCCUUACAGGAGCAGGCCUUUCAUCAGGAGCAGGCCUUUCGUCAGGAGCAGGUCUUUCAUCAGGAGCAGGUCUUUCAUCAGGAGCAGGCCUUUUCGUCAGGAGCAGGCCUUUCGUCAGGAGCAGGUCUUUCAUCAGGAGCAGGCCUUUCGUCAGGAGCAGGUCUUUCAUCAGGAGCAGGCCUUUCGUCAGGAGCAGGUCUUUCAUCAGGAGCAGGCCUUUCAGGAGCAGGCCUAGCAUCUGAAGACAGAUCUAAAGGGACUGUGAUUGAGAGAAAAUUAAAUAUUUGUUUACAAUAAA